rnacentral:rRNA from 1 species
AGAGUUUGAUCCUGGCUCAGAACGAACGCUGGCGGCGUGCUUAACACAUGCAAGUCGAGCGCGAAAGUUACUCUUCGGAGUGGCGAGUAGAGCGGCAGACGGGUGAGUAACACGUGAAUAAUCUACCCCUUGGCGGGGAAUCGAAAGGAUGGCUAAUACCGCAUAAGACCAUAUGCCUGCGGGUGUAUGGUGAAAGGCUUUCGGGCCACCGAGGGAGGAGUUCGCGGACGAUUAGCUAGUUGGUGGGGUAAAGGCUCACCAAGGCAACGAUCGUUAGCUGGUCUUAGAGGAUGAGCAGCCACACUGGUACUUAGAUACGGACCAGACUCCUACGGGAGGCAGCAGUGGGGAAUAUUGCGCAAUGGACGAAAGUCUGACGCAGCAACGCCGGGCCUUAGGGUCGUAAAGCUCUGUCAGGUGGGAAGAACCUUGCCUUUAUGGCAACUGACGGUACCACCAAAGGAAGCACCGGCUAACUCCGUGCCAGCAGCCGCGGUAAUACGGAGGGUGCAAGCGUUGUUCGGAAUUACUGGGCGUAAAGGGCGCGUAGGCGGCCUGUCAAGUCUGAUGUGAAAGUCCGGGGCUCAACCCCGGAAGUGCAUUGGAAACUGGCAGGCUUGAGUUCGGGAGGGGAGGGCAGAAUUCCCGGUGUAGGGGUGAAAUCCGUAGAUAUCGGGAGGAAAAUCAGUGGCGAAGGCGGCCCUCUGGAACGAAACUGACGCUGAGGCGCGAAAGCGUGGGGAGCAAACAGGAUUAGAGACCCUGGUAGUCCACGCCGUAAACGAUGGAUGCUAGGUGUAGGGAUCAAUCAUGAUCUCUGUGCCGAAGCUAACGCGAUAAGCAUCCCGCCUGGGGAGUACGGUCGCAAGACUAAAACUCAAAGGAAUUGACGGGGGCCUGCACAAGCGGUGGAGUAUGUGGUUUAAUUCGACACAACGCGCAGAACCUUACCUGGGUUUGACAUCCCGUGCCCGCUAUAGAGAUAUAGUUUUCCCUUCGGGGACACGGUGACAGGUGCUGCAUGGCUGUCGUCAGCUCGUGUCGUGAGAUGUUGGGUUAAGUCCCGCAACGAGCGCAACCCCUGUCCUAUGUUGCCAUCAGGUUAUGCUGGGCACUCUUAGGAGACUGCCGGUGUUAAACCGGAGGAAGGUGGGGAUGACGUCAAGUCCUCAUGGCCCUUAUACCCAGGGCUACACACGUACUACAAUGGCCGGUACAAAGAGGCGCGAACUCGCGAGGGUAAGCAAAUCUCAAAAAGCCGGUCCCAGUUCGGAUUGGAGUCUGCAACUCGACUCCAUGAAGGCGGAAUCGCUAGUAAUCGCGGAUCAGCAUGCCGCGGUGAAUCCGUUCCCGGGCCUUGUACACACCGCCCGUCACACCAUGAGAGUCGCUUGUACCAGAAGUGCCUGGGCCCACCCGCAAGGGAGGCACCGUACCAACCUCUGGGUGGUGAUUGGGGUGAAGUAGUAACAAGGUA